UAUAUAUAUAUAUAUAUAUAUAUUACGUGCAUCGGUAACAAUGAGUUAUAAUGUUUUUUCAAAGUAUAACUCAUGGGCUUGGUUUAUCUUAGGAUUGCAUUUUUCAUCUUGCCAUGGCAUAAUAAGUUACUGUGGAGAUUGGUGGCUCAAAAAAGGAGUUGAAGAAUUCUGAAGGUCUUUUAUCGACUGCAGUAAACUCUUGUGAGUGGAUUAUUUAAAUACUGCAUAGAGCAGAUUCAACUUAAAGAAGCUCACAUAUGAAGAAAGGAAGAACCAGUUAAUUGAAGGAUUGACUAAAUUUGGGCAGUGGUAUAAAUUUUCAAAGGAACAUGGAUACAACCUUUUUUCUUUGGGGACAUGUUUACAACCUGUCUUUAUCAUAGUGUUGGGAAUGAGGAGUGUACUUGAUUAGAUAAUGCAGAUGCCGUAUAGAGAAACCUGGCUUUCCUUGUGUCCAUGCAACUGCAGCAUGUAAGCAUCAACAUAUUUCUCAAGGAGAGAAGCGUCAUCAAUAUAGAUGCGGGAGGUGCAAAUAGAUUGGUCACAGCAGCCGAUCAUGCUCAACCACCAUACCUUUUGAUCGCACUGCCAACCAACAACACCAUUCAACUGAAGGACCAUAAAUAGCUCUAUGCUAUAUUAAGACAAUGGGGGCAUGUUAUGUGGUAUGCGUGUGUUAUGCAACGUAGUAAGGAAUGCAAUUAGUAGCUCAACCGCGUAACGUGUGUUUUGGCAUAAUAGAUGUUGGUUUUAUGUGUUGUUUUGUUGGAAAAGUCAUCUGUCAUAUUGUAUUGAUAGAAUAUCAAUAACCCUAAACAGAAAAAACUCCAAAAAUUUGGAAAAAGUUCUCAA